rnacentral:rRNA from 1 species
UACAGAGGUCCCAAGCGUUGUUCGGAUUCAUUGGGCGUAAAGGGUGCGUAGGCGGUUUGUCGCGUCUGCCGUGAAAGUCCGGGGCUCAACUCCGGAUCUGCGGUGGGUACGGGCAGACUAGAGUGAUGUAGGGGAGACUGGAAUUCCUGGUGUAGCGGUGAAAUGCGCAGAUAUCAGGAGGAACACCGAUGGCGAAGGCAGGUCUCUGGGCAUUAACUGACGCUGAGGAGCGAAAGCAUGGGGAGCGAACAGG